rnacentral:lncRNA from 1 species
GGAGGGGAAAGAUUUUUCAGGACUGCAAAUGUUUCUAUGGCAGUAGCAUGCUAUUUUUCAGCUCUGAAAGAGCUCUUCUGUAAUGCAGAAAUGAAGUGGUUUACCCAGCAGAAAAUAAGUGUUCCUGCUUUAUUGUUUUUGGCAGGAGUUGGUGGUUCAUCAUUUGGACACAUCAGCUCACCCAUCAUCUUCCCAGAAAAACAUCUGCAACCUGCUGAGCCCAAGGCUGUAGGAUCUGAAACCCUUUUCACAGUGUCUGAUUGGUUGAGGGGCUGGAGAGGACGCCUGUGCAGCUCAGAGUUUCUCUGCCUUGUUGAGCAGAGCCACCUUUCUCCUCUAAAUACAGCUGCUCUAAGUGCUGCUUGGAACAAAGUGGUCUUCAAUUAUGCAGCUUCUUCUAACACAAGCAAGAUUUGGUACUUCCUUCUCUGCAUACUACUGACUGCCUAA